rnacentral:lncRNA from 1 species
UUUAUUCCAAACAUAACCUUAUAAACAAACAGUUGUUUAUUUAGAGUUAUUUAUUAUUGUUUUCUCAUAUUUUGCAAUUGUUAAGUUGGUUUACUUCGAAUUUAAUGUGCAUUACUGUGGUAUUUCUCCAGUUUUCUAAGAAGGUUGGUGAUUUUGAAUUGGGAUUAUGAUGAAUUUAACCCAAAGGCAAUGUGUGUGUUUAUUUAUGUGGCAAAAUUCCAGGCACCAUAAAAAUUUGAGUUUCUUCCUGUUGCCCAUGGCACAGCCCCAUGGAUGAAAAUCGGUUUGCAGAAUGAAAAGAAAUUGUUCAAUGUGAUAAACUUUCUAUGAACAGUCCUCAGUGUUGUUACAUUAACUUUUAAAUAUGCAUCUUGAGGAGCAGGCCUUUGCAGAAAUACUGAAAAGCGGGUUGCAAAACAACGCAAAAUAAAAUAAACGAAAUAUGUCUUGGAAUGAUAAUUUUGUAAUUCUGUAGGCACAUCUAUUGAGAAGUUACAACCAGUGGCAAAGUGCCUUAAGGGAAUCUAUGACAUAUAUAAUUGAAGGGACACCUCCUCUGAAGGAAUUACAAUUAUUUGCCAGUAUGUCAAAUGAAUUUUCAACAUCAGUCAUACUUUCAUGAAUUUAUUGAUGAAAAUAAAACUAGGUACAUGAUUUAUUAUUUACUUCUAAGGGAUUCUAAGAUACUAUGUGUAAAAAGUCCAAUAUGCAGUGAUGAGCAUGCUAAUAACUGGCAAAAUAUGGGAUAUAACGCCAAAGAUGGGAAACAUGGGAUGCAUUCUGAAGUAAAAAGAGAUGAAACUGAGAGAAAUUAUUGAUAUAAACAUAUAAAUUAACAUUGCAUUACAUAGUUUCCCACCUUUAGACAUAUCAGAUGAGUAUGAGAACUGUCACUGUGCCAGGAGAAUUUUAUAAAAUACUCCUGUCACAGAGAUCUAAAGGUGGGAAACUAUGUAAUGUUAUCGUCGGCUAAGAGUGUUAACCUGCUAACUCUAUUUUUCACUGUGAGUGAUAUUGGGGUAGUUUCUAGGUCUGUGUACCUUCAUACCAUGUCCCACAAGCCCGCUGGUUCCACUGUAGUUUAGAGAUAGCUAUUUCUAAACUACAUUGGUGUCGGCGGGUUUGUGUGGUGGUGUAUGAAAAUACACGGACCCAGAAACUAGCCCAAUAUCACUCAAAGUGAAAAAUGGAGGUUAAAACUCUUAUCCAAGGUUAUGUUAAUUUAUUCGUUUAUAACGAUAAGUUCCACUUCUACCAGUUUCAUCUCUUUUUAUCUCACAAGUUAAUAUGUUUUCCAUCUUUUGCGUUAUUUUGCCGGUUAUUAGUGUGAGUGCUCAUUACUGUAUAUUUACGAUUCUGUGAUUUCUCAAUAUGAUGCUGAGUAGGUAUAGAUCUGAGUAGGUAUAUAGUAGGUAUCUACAACCCUUUCAAAACAGAAAUUUAUAAGUUCAUUUUAUGUACCUAUUAAACUUUAUUUUAAGGAUGAAUUUGAAAUGCUUGUAGGGAAUAUAUCUGUAAAAAAUAAAAUUGGUAUUGUAAAAUUGAAAUUCUCAAAAUAUAAUUUAUAAUUCGAA